UCAUUUGACUACCAGUCUGCAUUUCCUCUGAAUUGCUAAGUACGCCCACUCUAGUGAUUUAGAAGAAUCUCCUAUACAUGAGAUGGGCAUAUGCAAAUUACAAUAUCAAUGACUAAAGUGACAUAUGGCUUAAUCUUUGCUUUGAAUGCAAUCUUAUCAGGCUUGAAAAAUCUUUAAACGGAGGUGGAAUGCAUCCUGACAUCAACCUGCUAAAACUAGAAGAGCACAUUGGAAACAUAAUCUGCCCUGACAUUUGAAGACCGAUGGCUGAGUCCUUCCACCUGUUACCAGUUUCAGAUGUUCCGGUCAAAUACCAAUUAGCCCUGUGUUGCUUUUGGCCUAUGGCAAGAAAACACACUGCAGGGUAGGCAUGACGGAGCAAAACCAUGCAUUUCAUGGUGGCUGAGAAGCAAGUAAAGGAGAAUGGAAAGAGCUGAGGUCCCUGGAACCCUUCGAGGACAUGCGCCCGGUGGCAGGAAGACCUCCGCUCUCAAUGCUUCACCACUUCCCAAAGUGCAAUGCACCAGGAA